rnacentral:rRNA from 1 species
UGCAAGUCGAACGGUAGAGGGGGCAACCCCUCGAGAGUGGCGAACGGGUGAGUAAUAUAUCGGAACGUGCCCAGUCGUGGGGGAUAACGUAGCGAAAGUUACGCUAAUACCGCAUACGAUCUAAGGAUGAAAGCGGGGGACUCGCAAGAGCCUCGCGCGAUUGGAGCGGCCGAUAUCAGAUUAGGUAGUUGGUGAGGUAAAGGCUCACCAAGCCAACGAUCUGUAGCUGGUCUGAGAGGACGACCAGCCACACUGGAACUGAGACACGGUCCAGACUCCUACGGGAGGCAGCAGUGGGGAAUUUUGGACAAUGGACGCAAGUCUGAUCCAGCCAUUCCGCGUGCAGGAUGAAGGCCCUCGGGUUGUAAACUGCUUUUGUACGGAACGAAAAGGUUUCUAUUAAUACUAGGAGCUCAUGACGGUACCGUAAGAAUAAGCACCGGCUAACUACGUGCCAGCAGCCGCGGUAAUACGUAGGGUGCAAGCGUUAAUCGGAAUUACUGGGCGUAAAGCGUGCGCAGGCGGUUAUAUAAGACAGAUGUGAAAUCCCCGGGCUCAACCUGGGAACUGCAUUUGUGACUGUAUAGCUAGAGUACGGUAGAGGGGGAUGGAAUUCCGCGUGUAGCAGUGAAAUGCGUAGAUAUGCGGAGGAACACCGAUGGCGAAGGCAAUCCCCUGGACCUGUACUGACGCUCAUGCACGAAAGCGUGGGGAGCAAACAGGAUUAGAUACCCUGGUAGUCCACGCCCUAAACGAUGUCAACUGGUUGUUGGGUCUUCACUGACUCAGUAACGAAGCUAACGCGUGAAGUUGACCGCCUGGGGAGUACGGCCGCAAGGUUGACACUCAAAGGAAUUGACGGGGACCCGCACAAGCGGUGGAUGAUGUGGUUUAAUUCGAUGCAACGCGAAAAACCUUACCCACCUUUGACAUGUACGGAAGUCGCU